rnacentral:rRNA from 1 species
AUACGGAGGGAGCGAGCGUUAAUCGGAAUUACUGGGCGUAAAGCGCGCGUAGGCGGCUUUGUAAGUCGGAUGUGAAAGCCCUGGGCUUAACCUGGGAAUGGCAUUCGAUACUGCAGAGCUAGAGUAUGGUAGAGGGAAGUGGAAUUUCCGGUGUAGCGGUGAAAUGCGUAGAUAUCGGAAGGAACACCAGUGGCGAAGGCGACUUCCUGGGCCAAUACUGACGCUGAGGUGCGAAAGCGUGGGGAGCAAACAGGAUUAGAUACCCCUGUAGUCC